rnacentral:tRNA from 1 species
GACAGCUUGGCCGAGUGGUUUAAGGCGAUGGACUUGAAAUCCAUUGGGGGUAACCUGCGUGAGUUCAAAUCUCACAGCUGUCG